rnacentral:tRNA from 1 species
GGGUAUAGCUCAAGUGGUAGAGUGCGUGCUUAGCAUGCAUGAGGUCCUGGGUUCAAUUCCCAGUACCUCCA